rnacentral:rRNA from 1 species
GACGAACGCUGGCGGUGUGCUUAAUACAUGCAAGUCGAACGAUGAGGCCCUUCGGGGUACAUCAGUGGCGGACGGCUGAGUAACGCGUAGAUAACGUGCCCUGGACUGGGGGAUAACACCGGGAAACCGGUGCUAAUACCGCAUAAGUCUGUGGCUGAAAUACAUUGAUUAAAGAAUUUCGGUUCAGGAUCGGUCUGCGGCUGAUUAGCUUGUUGGUGAGGUAAAGGCUCACCAAGGCAAUGAUCAGUAGUUGGUCUGAGAGGAGGACCAGCCAGAGUGGGACUGAGACACGGCCCACACUUCUACGGAAGGCAGCAGUAGGGAAUUUUGCGCAAUGGGCGAAAGCCUGACGCAGCAACACCGCGUGCGGGAUGACGGUCUUCGGAUUGUAAACCGCUGUCAGCAGGGAAUAAUAAUGACUGUACCUGCAAAGGAAGCAUCGGCUAACUACGUGCCAGCCGCCGCGGUAA